rnacentral:rRNA from 1 species
UUGAGGAAGUAAAAGUCGUAAACAAGGUUUCCGUAGGUGAACCUGCGGAAGGAUCAUUAGUGAAUAAAUAGGGUGUCCAAUUUAACUUGGAACCCGACCUUCUCACAUCUAACCCUGUGCAUCUGUAUAUAAUGGCGAGCAAUUUUCGGAUUGUGAGCCAUUUCACUUUAUAAACACUAGUCUAUGAAUGUAAAAUUUUUAUAACAAUAAAAACUUUCAACAACGGAUCUCUUGGCUCUCGCAUCGAUGAAGAACGCAGCGAAAUGCGAUACGUAAUGUGAAUUGCAGAAUUCAGUGAAUCAUCGAAUCUUUGAACGCAUCUUGCGCUCUCUGGUAUUCCGGAGAGCAUGUCUGUUUGAGUGUCAUGAAUUCUUCAACCCAACUGUUUCUUGUAAACAGCUGGUGUUUGGAUUCUGAGCGCUGCUGGCUUCGUGCCUAGCUCGUUCGUAAUACAUCAGCAUCCCUAAUACAAGUUUGGAUUGACUUGGCGUAAUAGACUAUUCGCUAAGGAUUCAAUGUUCGCAUUGAGCCAACUUAAUUAUGGAAGCUUCUAAUUGAAAAGUCUACCUUUAGAUUAGAUCUCAAAUCAGGCAGGAUUACCCGCUGAACUUAAGCAUAU